AGAGUUUGAUCAUGGCUCAGAUUGAACGCUGGCGGCAGGCCUAACACAUGCAAGUCGAGCGGUAGCACAGAGAGCUUGCUCUCGGGUGACGAGCGGCGGACGGGUGAGUAAUGUCUGGGAAACUGCCUGAUGGAGGGGGAUAACUACUGGAAACGGUAGCUAAUACCGCAUAAUGUCGCAAGACCAAAGUGGGGGACCUUCGGGCCUCAUGCCAUCAGAUGUGCCCAGAUGGGAUUAGCUAGUAGGUGGGGUAAUGGCUCACCUAGGCGACGAUCCCUAGCUGGUCUGAGAGGAUGACCAGCCACACUGGAACUGAGACACGGUCCAGACUCCUACGGGAGGCAGCAGUGGGGAAUAUUGCACAAUGGGCGCAAGCCUGAUGCAGCCAUGCCGCGUGUGUGAAGAAGGCCUUCGGGUUGUAAAGCACUUUCAGCGGGGAGGAAGGCGGUGAGGUUAAUAACCUCAGCGAUUGACGUUACCCGCAGAAGAAGCACCGGCUAACUCCGUGCCAGCAGCCGCGGUAAUACGGAGGGUGCAAGCGUUAAUCGGAAUUACUGGGCGUAAAGCGCACGCAGGCGGUCUGUCAAGUCGGAUGUGAAAUCCCCGGGCUCAACCUGGGAACUGCAUUCGAAACUGGCAGGCUAGAGUCUUGUAGAGGGGGGUAGAAUUCCAGGUGUAGCGGUGAAAUGCGUAGAGAUCUGGAGGAAUACCGGUGGCGAAGGCGGCCCCCUGGACAAAGACUGACGCUCAGGUGCGAAAGCGUGGGGAGCAAACAGGAUUAGAUACCCUGGUAGUCCACGCCGUAAACGAUGUCGAUUUGGAGGUUGUGCCCUUGAGGCGUGGCUUCCGGAGCUAACGCGUUAAAUCGACCGCCUGGGGAGUACGGCCGCAAGGUUAAAACUCAAAUGAAUUGACGGGGGCCCGCACAAGCGGUGGAGCAUGUGGUUUAAUUCGAUGCAACGCGAAGAACCUUACCUGGUCUUGACAUCCACAGAACUUUCCAGAGAUGGAUUGGUGCCUUCGGGAACUGUGAGACAGGUGCUGCAUGGCUGUCGUCAGCUCGUGUUGUGAAAUGUUGGGUUAAGUCCCGCAACGAGCGCAACCCUUAUCCUUUGUUGCCAGCGGUUAGGCCGGGAACUCAAAGGAGACUGCCAGUGAUAAACUGGAGGAAGGUGGGGAUGACGUCAAGUCAUCAUGGCCCUUACGACCAGGGCUACACACGUGCUACAAUGGCAUAUACAAAGAGAAGCGACCUCGCGAGAGCAAGCGGACCUCAUAAAGUAUGUCGUAGUCCGGAUUGGAGUCUGCAACUCGACUCCAUGAAGUCGGAAUCGCUAGUAAUCGUAGAUCAGAAUGCUACGGUGAAUACGUUCCCGGGCCUUGUACACACCGCCCGUCACACCAUGGGAGUGGGUUGCAAAAGAAGUAGGUAGCUUAACCUUCGGGAGGGCGCUUACCACUUUGUGAUUCAUGACUGGGGUGAAGUCGUAACAAGGUAACCGUAGGGGAACCUGCGGUUGGAUCACCU
rnacentral:rRNA from 1 species